GCCAUGGUAAUUCGUACCCGCCUCUACGCUUGGGAAGCUCCUUUAUGGCCUUUCUCCAGGCUUUCAGACUUGAGUCUUGGACUUUUGAAGUACAGCACCAGCUCUCCUGGACCUCUAGCUUGUAGCAGGACUUCUCAGCUUCUAAAAAAGUGGAGAUGAGCACACAGAUUCACUCAGAGGAAAGACCAUAUGAAGAUAGAAUGAAUGUAUACAAGCCAAGAAGAGAUGCCUGCAGAAGAAACUAACCUUGAUGACACCUUGAUCUUAGACAUCUAGCCUCC